rnacentral:rRNA from 1 species
GACGAACGCUGGCGGCGUGCUUAACACAUGCAAGUCGAGCGGUAAGGCCUCUUCGGGGGUACACGAGCGGCGAACGGGUGCGUAACACGUGGGUGACCUGCCCUCAGCUCUGGGAUAAGCCUGGGAAACUGGGUCUAAUACCGGAUAUGACCUUUCCUCGCAUGGGGUUUGGUGGAAAGUUUUUUCGGCUGGGGAUGGGCCCGCGGCCUAUCAGCUUGUUGGUGGGGUGAUGGCCUACCAAGGCGACGACGGGUAGCCGGCCUGAGAGGGCGACCGGCCACACGGGGACUGAGACACGGCCCAGACUCCUACGGGAGGCAGCAGUGGGGAAGAUUGCGCAAUGGGCGGAAGCCUGACGCAGCGACGCCGCGUGGGGGAUGACGGCCUUCGGGUUGUAAACCUCUUUCGACCCCGACGAAUUUGGACGGUAGGGAUAGAAGAAGCACCGGCCAACUACGUG